rnacentral:lncRNA from 1 species
ACCCCUAAUCACCAUGCUCUCGAUGAAGUGCAUGAUAUAGAUGGCAUAAUUAAGCCUGCAAAAUGACAUAUUAUCAUAGUUUAUAAAAAUAACUCAAAGAACGAAUAAGUGUGCUCUAAAUAACUCAAUCAUAUAAUAUUUGGUAUGGACCAUUAUUUGGUAUAAUGCUACAAUAGCAUAAUAGCAUUGAUGAUUAUGUGGCAUGAUGGCAUGGCAUAUAUGUGUGUGAG